GAAUUUUUUUGGGAAUUUGCGGUGGAUGACCACAAAAACAAAUUUAAUUAGGUAGAUGGAUAUGUCACUGUUGAUUUUUUCAUAAUGCCAGUAGUAACCCUAUUCUAUCUUGUAGAUAUGCAUAAACAUAAAUCUGAUACUUUUGUCUUUAUCUUUCGUGCAUGCUUCUAAAUUAACUAUAGAUUAUUAUUUUUUUGAAACAGAAGCUAACUCUUCGUCUCUUUAGCUCUCUCUCUUUCUCUCUUCUUCCUGAUGUGAUCAUUCAUCUUCCCUAAAUAAGGAAACUGUUUCUUUAUUGACGAAAAUUCUGAUGAAAUCAUGUGACAUAUCCUUUGAUUCAUCUCUCUAUAAAUGUGAAGAAUACAAGUAUUUCGCUCGCAUAUGCUCUGCCGUCGUGUUCCGUAAGCCUCUGCUCUACUCUGCCACCGUAUUCCCGUAAGCCUCUGCCUUCGCCUCUGCUGUCAUCAUUGUAAUCCUCAUUCUUCUUCUCAUUUUAUAUCUAUUCGAUGUUUGAUUUGCUUCGGCACUGCGUUUGGUGAGGAAGAAAUGCGCCUUACUGUUUUUUUUGUGUGGUUGCUUUGCUUUAUCUUCUUGUUUUUUCGUUCGUUUGAUGUGAGAAAUGUAAAAUUUGUGAUGAAUCUGAGGAACAUUAUCUAUUUUUUUCAUUUUUGUGGCUAUUAUUAGUA